rnacentral:lncRNA from 1 species
UUUUACCGGAGUUGCACUUUUGAUUACCGUAGUUAGAUGAAUAAACUGUGGUUAGCAGUAGCCAGCUGGAGGCUAGCCACUUGUCCUUGGGGUCUAACGGCUUUGUGUGAGAAAAGCUGUAUAAAGUAGAGUGUAAGGGUUUGGAGUCUAGUAUCGAGAGUUUGGGUGAAAUCUUGGAUUGUAAGGGGGAGGAAGGGAUUCGUAAGUCCCUUGGCUUGCAAUUGUUUCCUUAUUAAUAAAAG